rnacentral:rRNA from 1 species
AUGGUGAGCGGCGGUUUCGACAGCGACUGGCUGGCUGCUGCUGGCUUGUACGUGUGGAAGGCAGUUGUUCACGGCAGACCAGUGAGCGGCGGCGGGUGGGCGCGACCACAUGGUGGUUGGAAGGUAGGCUUCGCGGCGUUCAACCUCGGCCACCAUCGUACCACGAUCUCGGCCCACCCGGAAAGUCGGAUGAAGAGGUGGUGGACGACUGAUCCCGGAGAGGAGAACAAGCCUCCGAGCACGUGCUCGUCAACUCCAUGCCGGCCGCUCCAAGCGCCCCUGCUUCGUGUCUUCAAGGCAGGCGCCGAGAUAGCCUUUGCAGCGAGCUGUGGUGUGUGGACUCUGCGGCGAGAUGGGAUUCAGAAUCCUUUUUCGUGA